rnacentral:tRNA from 1 species
GUUUUAAUAAUUUAAUCAAAAUAUUGGUCUUGUAAACCAAAAAUAGGUAAAACCUUUAAAACA